rnacentral:rRNA from 1 species
CGCGUAGGCGGUCUUUUAAGUCAGGUGUGAAAGCCCGGGGCUCAACCCCGGAAGUGCACUUGAAACUAUUAGACUUGAGUAUGGGAGAGGGAAGUGGAAUUCCUGGUGUAGCGGUGAAAUGCGUAGAUAUCAGGAGGAACAUCGGUGGCGAAGGCGACUUCCUGGACCAAUACUGACGCUGAGGCGCGAAGGCGUGGGGAGCAAACA